rnacentral:ncRNA from 1 species
AUGAUGGUUUGGUUGCUUUUCAUUAUAAGUCUUAUGGGGCUUUUUUGAUACACUGAAAAAGCCCCAUAAUCUUCUGUGGUAGAUUUACCCACUACAGUU